rnacentral:rRNA from 1 species
GGGUGAGUAACGCGUAGGCAACCUGCCCUUUGCACAGGGAUAGCCAUUGGAAACGAUGAUUAAAACCUGAUAACACCAUUUGGUUACAUGAGCAGAUGGUCAAAGAUUUAUCGGCAAAGGAUGGGCCUGCGUCUGAUUAGCUAGUUGGUAAGGUAACGGCUUACCAAGGCGACGAUCAGUAGCCGACCUGAGAGGGUGAACGGCCACAUUGGAACUGAGACACGGUCCAAACUCCUACGGGAGGCAGCAGUGGGGAAUAUUGCACAAUGGGCGAAAGCCUGAUGCAGCAACGCCGCGUGAAGGAAGAAGGCCUUCGGGUCGUAAACUUCUGUCCUUGGGGAAGAAGAACUGACGGUACCCAAGGAGGAAGCCCCGGCUAACUACGUGCCAGCAGCCGCGGUAAUACGUAGGGGGCAAGCGUUAUCCGGAAUUAUUGGGCGUAAAGAGUACGUAGGUGGCAACCUAAGCGCAGGGUUUAAGGCAAUGGCUCAACCAUUGUUCGCCCUGCGAACUGGGAUGCUUGAGUGCAGGAGAGGAAAGCGGAAUUCCUAGUGUAGCGGUGAAAUGCGUAGAUAUUAGGAGGAACACCAGUGGCGAAGGCGGCUUUCUGGACUGUAACUGACACUGAGGUACGAAAGCGUGGGGAGCAAACAGGAUUAGAUACCCUGGUAGUCCACGCCGUAAACGAU